ensembl:lincRNA
AAGCUGUUCUGACAUUUGAGCAGCUCCUUUGUAAACAAAUUGAAGUAACAUUUUGUUCUCUGCUUUCUAGGUCCUUCACAAAGGAAAUGGGAAAAAAGGAGAAAAACGGUAUAUGAGUGGAAAUGCAACCAAAGUGAGAAAGGAGAAUUGGAAUGGCAUAGGACUUCAAAGGGAAGAAAGAACCAUCAUUACUGAGGCAUCUUUUUCCCCCUAGCAGUGCUGGAGAUGGAAGAGAAUCCUACACAUUUUCAGGAGAGAUACUUUCAAGCCUUCUGCCCUUCAAUUUAAAUGGUUUGGAGCCUGUCACUGCACUGAGAGGACAGAAUUACUAUUGGUUAUAACAGCAUCAACAGAUCUGACCACACAUCGCUUCUGUGAGUUGAACCUUUUCUCACACUUUCACCGUUUAUCAGUCAUCUUUAUCAUCAGCGGGUGUGACGCGGAAGAGCAGGGAGGAGAUGGGGGAUGGGAGAAGUGAGUAGAAGUACGAGGAGAGCUAAACAGGAGAAACAAGAAUAAGUAAAAAUUUACGCAAUGGUCUGCAGUCAUAUUCUGUAAGAGGUCUUUCAUAUUUGGAGCGAAGGGUUGAUAAUAAAAUACUUUUGGGAGCAGAGGCAGGACGUAGGAGGAGAGACAGACGUAUAACUAGGGAUUAAAGAAUGCUGUGAGCUUCUCAGAACCCCGUGUUUACCUGUUUAUCUGUAAGGUUGAGAGGAGCGAGAGAAAACAAGGGGCUAGCUAAAGUAAGAACCAAAGAAACCAAAUAGGUAAGACAAGGUCAACAUAAGAGAAGGUGGGAAUGUCCGAAGGAAAGAGAAAUACAGGGAGAAAAACAAGCAAAAGGAGCUAUUAGAAAAGUGGAAGAAACAAGCAAAAAUAAGAAAAUAGUGUUGCUACAGAUUGCAGAGUUAAAGAAAAGUAGUACACAGAGGAGAGAAAAUGAACGACUAAAUCAAAGUAAAAGUAACAAAAACCCAGCUCUGGCAAGCACAAGGAAAUAGUUCCAUUCCCGGUACGGGAAAAAAACCAAAAAAAAAAAAAAAAACCGAAAAAGAAAACACUAAGAAUAUAUAUUUGAGGUGUACUUAUUACCUUUGAAAUAAAUUUAAAAAUCCUUUUAGAGCUGGGUGUGGUGGCAGACACAUGUAAUCCUAGCACGCAGGAGACUGAGGAAGGAGAAUCUCCCUGUGUUUGAGGCCAGCCUGCACUACAUAGUGAGAACCAGUUUCAACGCCGCUCAAAGAUAAAAUUAAUUUAAAAUAAAAAUCCUCUUAGAGUUUGACAGUACUUAGGUAUUUGGAACACAAUGAUUCCAACUCUACUAACAAAUAGGAAAGCAUAAAAUGCAAGUAGGUACUAACGUUUAUUGUAUAAAAAUUGUGUAUCAUGAUCAGAAAUUCAUAUAUGGUUUAUUAUAAAAAACUGCAGUGUAAUUUGAAGAAAUACACUACAUAUAAUUCUGUCUAUAUUUCUAAGAAUAUUCAUUAAUAAUUGCAAGUACUGAAGAACCAUACUGAGACAUGUAAAAGUUAUUUAAAUGUAAAAAUCACAUUACUCCUAUAGGUUAAGCCGUAUAAUUUAAUGUAACACUUAAGAAGGAAAUUUUGCUAUUACUGACUUUUCAUGAAAAUUGUCCAGUGACGGUGUAAAGCAGAAGAGCAGCUACGGGAGAGAGAUGAAAGAUGAUUUUCUAUCCAUUGCUAAAUACUGGAACCAAAGGAUGAGUAUACAGGGAAAUCGUUGCCUCACCUCUCCUUUUACAACCACUUGAAUAUUUUUAUAGUAAAUGCGUGUUUGGUCCUUGUGCAUGGCGUCAUUGUUUAAAUUUAUUAUCAUCACUCAAGAUAAAUGGAAAGCUAAUUUAAUAUCAUAAUUAGAAUUUAAGCUUUUCACGUUGACUUACGGCCUGAAACUGAUAUUUAACCAAAUCUCCUGGUAAUCAUAUAGAACUAAAAAUCAAAAAUGUUCUACCCAAUGCUAUGCCUUCUGGCAUCGUUCACAGUCUUCCUGGCAUCUCACAGAGCAUCAAAGAAAACUGUUAGUCCAUGUCCAGUGUACAAAUCUGACUAUAUUUCUAUGAGCUAAGAGGUUAUUUUUUCACCUAUGUUAAGCAAGUGAAGUCAUCCCAUCCUUGGGAUGUUAGUAAUGGAUUCCAAGGCUGCUAUGUGAUGUCACUGGCUGCAGAGGAGAGGGAAGUACUGUGGGAGAGAUCGCAUAGCACCUUGUGUGUCAUGUGUUGCAUUUUAACUAACUAUUCUAGCCUGGAACUGCUGGGGAGGAAAAGGACAAAACUGA